rnacentral:rRNA from 1 species
UACCAGCACCCCGAGUGGUCGGGACGUUUAUUGGGCCUAAAGCAUCCGUAGCCGGUUCUACAAGUCUUCCGUUAAAUCCAACUGCUUAACAGGUGGGCCGCGGAAGAUACUAUAGAGCUAGGAGGCGGGAGAGGCAAGCGGUACUCGAUGGGUAGGGGUAAAAUCCGUUGAUCCAUUGAAGACCACCAGUGGCGAAGGCGGCUUGCCAGAACGCGCUCGACGGUGAGGGAUGAAAGCUGGGGGAGCAAACCGG